UAGCGUAUAAGCUAUAAGUAUGUUUGGCUGUAUCAAACAGAGCCAUAAUUUAUUCUGAAAAGUCAUAUAUGGGACAUCUUUGUGGCUGAUAAUUAGUUAAAACUUUGAUAAAUUUGGCGGUUGAAUGGUGCGGUAUUGAGCAAAAGCUGCUUAAUUGAGAGAAGGGUUUGAUAACAAAAUCAACAGCAUUGUCCAUCCUGUGUGGCUUUUCACUCCACCUCACCUAGAGGUACACCUCACCAACAACAAUGAAAUGUAAAAACCAUAUUGCUCUAGCACCUUUUAUUGCCAGCAUGUAUCACCAACUUUACUUUGUUUUUCAGUAAGAUAAAGAAAAGGCUUAGUUACAAUUAUAGUUUUCUUUUCUUUUUACUUAAUUAUAAUUAGCACCUUUUAUUGCCAGCAUGUAUCACCAACUUUACUUUGUUUUUCAGUAAGAUAAAGAAAAGGCUUAGUUACAAUUAUAGUUUUCUUUUCUUUUUACUUAAUUAUAAUUAGCACCUUUUAUUGCCAGCAUGUAUCACCAACUUUACUUUGUUUUUCAGUAAGAUAAAGAAAAGGCUUAGUUACAA
rnacentral:lncRNA from 1 species